GCCUAGACGUAAACAUAGGUAGACCUAAUACAAUACUGCCCGCCAGAGAACUACAAGCGAAAAACUAGAAACUCUAAGGACUUGGCGGUGCCCCAUACCAGCCUAGAGGAGCCUGUCCUAUAAUCGAUACUCCACGUUAGACCUUACCACUUCUUGCCAACUCAGCCUAUAUACCGCCGUCGCUCAGCCUACCUUAUGAAAGCCCAACAGUAGGCAAAACAGUUAAUAACUAAUACGUCAGGUCAAGGUGUAGCAUAUGAAGCGGGAGAGAUGGGCUACAUUUUCUGUAUCAGAAAACACGGACGCCAUAAUGAAACUUAUGCCAAAAGGCGGAUUUAGCAGUAAGGUAUAUAAGAAACAACACCUUAAACCUGCCCUGGGACGCGCACACACCGCCCGUCAC
rnacentral:rRNA from 1 species